rnacentral:rRNA from 1 species
GAUGAACGCUGGCGGCGUGCCUAAUACAUGCAAGUCGAGCGAACAGACGAGGAGCUUGCUCCUCUGACGUUAGCGGCGGACGGGUGAGUAACACGUGGAUAACCUACCUAUAAGACUGGGAUAACUUUGGGAAACCGGAGCUAAUACCGGAUAAUAUAUUGAACCGCAUGGUUCAAUAGUGAAAGACGGUUUUGCUGUCACUUAUAGAUGGAUCCGCGCCGCAUUAGCUAGUUGGGAAGGUAACGGCUUACCAAGGCGACGAUGCGUAGCCGACCUGAGAGGGUGAUCGGCCACACUGGAACUGAGACACGGUCCAGACUCCUACGGGAGGCAGCAGUAGGGAAUCUUCCGCAAUGGGCGAAAGCCUGACGGAGCAACGCCGCGUGAGUGAUGAAGGUCUUCGGAUCGUAAAACUCUGUUAUUAGGGAAGAACAAAUGUGUAAGUAACUAUGCACGUCUUGACGGUACCUAAUCAGAAAGCCACGGCUAACUACGUG